CCUACGGGAGGCAGCAGUGGGGAAUUUUGGACAAUGGGGGCAACCCUGAUCCAGCAAUGCCGCGUGAGUGAAGAAGGCCUUCGGGUUGUAAAGCUCUUUUGUCAGGGAAGAAACAGCAGCUCUAACACAGCUGUGAAUGACGGUACCUGAAGAAUAAGCACCGGCUAACUACGUGCCAGCAGCCGCGGUAAUACGUAGGGUGCAAGCGUUAAUCGGAAUUACUGGGCGUAAAGCGUGCGCAGGCGGUUAUAUAAGACAGGUGUGAAAUCCCCGGGCUUAACCUGGGAAUUGCAUCUGUGACUGUAUAGCUAGAGUGUGUCAGAGGGGGGUAGAAUUCCACGUGUAGCAGUGAAAUGCGUAGAUAUGUGGAGGAAUACCAAUGGCGAAGGCAGCCCCCUGGGAUAACACUGACGCUCAUGCACGAAAGCGUGGGGAGCAAACAGGAUUAGAUACCCUGGUAGUCCACGCCCUAAACGACUNCUNACUAGUGUUCGGUAGUUAUUCUGUAGUACGUA
rnacentral:rRNA from 1 species